UACGGAAGGUCCGGGCGUUAUCCGGAUUUAUUGGGUUUAAAGGGAGCGUAGGCCGCAUGUUAAGCGUGCUGUGAAAUGUCGGUGCUCAACACCGUUCAGUGCGGCGCGAACUGGCUUGCUUGAGUGCGCGGAAGGGAGGCGGAAUUCGUGGUGUAGCGGUGAAAUGCUUAGAUGUCACGAAGAACUCCGAUUGCGAAGGCAGCUUCCCGCAGCGCCACUGACGCUGAAGCUCGAAGGUGCGGGUAUCGAA
rnacentral:rRNA from 1 species